UACGUAGGGUGCAAGCGUUAAUCGGAAUACUGGGCGUAAAGCGUGCGCAGGCGGUUGUGCAAGACCGAUGUGAAAUCCCCCGGGCUUAACCUGGGAAUGGCAUUGGUGACUGCACGGCUAGAGUGUGUCAGAGGGGGGGGUAGAAUUCCACGUGUAGCAGUGAAAAUGCGUAGAGAUGUGGAGGAAUACCGAUGGCGAAGGCAGCCCCCUGGGAUAACACUGACGCUCAUGCACGAAAGCGUGGGGAGCAAACAGG
rnacentral:rRNA from 1 species